rnacentral:rRNA from 1 species
GACGAACGCUGGCGGCGUGCUUAACGCAUGCAAGUCGAACGGAAAGGCCCUGCUUUUGUGGGGUGCUCGAGUGGCGAACGGGUGAGUAACACGUGAGUAACCUGCCCUUGACUUUGGGAUAACUUCAGGAAACUGGGGCUAAUACCGGAUAGGAGCUCCUGCUGCAUGGUGGGGGUUGGAAAGUUUCGGCGGUUGGGGAUGGACUCGCGGCUUAUCAGCUUGUUGGUGGGGUAGUGGCUUACCAAGGGUUUGACGGGUAGCCGGCCUGAGAGGGUGACCGGCCACAUUGGGACUGAGAUACGGCCCAGACUCCUACGGGAGGCAGCAGUGGGGAAUAUUGCACAAUGGGCGGAAGCCUGAUGCAGCAACGCCGCGUGCGGGAUGACGGCCUUCGGGUUGUAAACCGCUUUCGCCUGUGACGAAGCGUGAGUGACGGUAAUGGGUAAAGAAGCACCGGCUAACUACGUG